CGACUGUAGACGACGCUAAAAAUAAUCAGAUGAAUCUGUCUUUCGACUUUGUGGAAGCUGAUUUUUUGUUAGUAUGUCGUAAGUUACUGUGUUAAAGAACAAAAACGUAUAGUGUAUGUCCGCUUAACUUUCGUAAAACUUCGAGGAAACGCAGUAGCAAUGCGCUUGGUAAGAUGUUAGUAUGGUAGAACUGUAUUUGUUUACUGUUUUUCUUUGAUGUGAGCGAAACC